rnacentral:misc_RNA from 1 species
GAUGAAGAACGCAGCGAAAUGCGAUAAGUAAUGUGAAUUGCAGAAUUCAGUGAAUCAUCGAAUUUUUGAACGCAUAUUGCGCCCUUUGGUAUUCCAAUGGGCACAUCCGUUCGAGCGUCAUUACAACAUUCAGGCCCUGCCUGGUAUUGGGAGCGGCCCCGUACGGGGCCCUCCUCAAACUCCUCGGCGUCGCCGACUCGUCCUCUAGCGCAGCGAGAAAACAAUUUCCAGCGUUAAAGAGGCGGUCCUCGACCCGCCGGAAUCAAUUUUUAUAUUCAAUGUUUGACCUCGGAUCGGAUGGGGAUACCCGCUGAACUUAAGCAUAUCAAUAAGCGGAGGA